AGGACGAACGCUGGGCGGCGUAGCUUAAAACAUGCAAGUCGAACGGACUUCUCAUGAAGCUUGCGAUUGAGAAGUUAGUGGCGGACGGGUGAGUAACGCGUGGGCAACCUGCCCCUGAGCCCGGGAUAACAGUUCGAAAGGACUGCUAAGACCGGAUAUACUUGCGGUGAAGCAUUUCACUGCAAGGAAAGGGAACGCUCAGGGAUGGGCCCGCGUCCCAUUAGCUAGUUGGUGAGGUAACGGCCCACCAAGGCGACGAUGGGUAGCCGGCCUGAGAGGGUGAACGGCCACACUGGGACUGAGACACGGCCCAGACUCCUACGGGAGGCAGCAGUUGGGAAUCUUCGGCAAUGGGCGCAAGCCUGACCGAGCAACGCCGCGUGAGUGAUGAAGGUUUUCGGAUUGUAAAGCUCUGUCUUCCGGGACGAUAAUGACGGUACCGGAGGAGGAAGCCACGGCUAACUACGUG
rnacentral:rRNA from 1 species